rnacentral:lncRNA from 1 species
GGCAGAAGAGACUUUAAAGAUGUAAUUAGGAGACCCAGAGGCAGUGCUGGAAUACCCAGGACUCGGGAUUAAGAGGUAGACAGAUCUCUAUGAGUUCAAGGCCACCUACCUGCCACAUUGAAGAUAGAAGGAUUCAUUCUCCAGCCCCCCUGUGGAGAGGCAGCAGUCUGAGGCUUGGUGAGAGCUGGGGGAGACAGAAUCAGCCCUUUCAGCUUGAGGCAGAGGGGCCAAUCAGUUUGGUCGGCGCAUUCUCACGUGCUAGCGAACAAAUAUAAACACUAUGGUUGCAUGGUGGGCAUUCGGUCUCGUGGCAGGGCCGACUGACUGACUACCACAGACAAGUCUGGCUGUGCGGGACACAGGGCUGGAGAGGCCACCUCAGUGGACGUCCAGAACACGGUCACCUUUUCCGGCUCAGACCGCGUCUCAGGAACGUGACUGUACAGGGUCACGCCCAGAACGCCCCAGGGGUCGGGCCUCAGAACCCGGGGUUGGGCCAGGCUUCUGGGCGUCCCUAAG